rnacentral:rRNA from 1 species
GCCGAACCACACAAACGUUAUUCGGAAUUACUGGGCUUAAAGGGUGCGUAGGCGGCGCGGCAAGUUGGGUGUGAAAUCCCUCGGCUCAACCGAGGAACUGCGCCCAAAACUACCGUGCUCGAGGGAGAUAGAGGUGAGCGGAACUUAGGGUGGAGCGGUGAAAUGCGUUGAUAUCCUAAGGAACACCCGUGGCGAAAGCGGCUCACUGGGUCUCGUCUGACGCUGAGGCACGAAAGCUAGGGUAGCGAGCGGG